rnacentral:rRNA from 1 species
GUCUCGUGGUGACAGCGGAGGGAUCAUUACAGAGUUGCAAAACUCCCAACCCUUUGCGAACGAACUAGACAGUUGCCUCGGCGGAGGGCCCUUCAGGGGGCUGUUCGCCGGAGGACCGCUAAACUCUUGUAUUUUUGGCCUCUCUGAGUAAUUCUAUAAUGAAUCAAAACUUUCAACAACGGAUCUCUUGGUUCUGGCAUCGAUGAAGAACGCAGCGAAAUGCGAUACGUAAUGUGAAUUGCAGAAUUCAGUGAAUCAUCGAAUCUUUGAACGCACAUUGCGCCCGCCAGCACUCUGGCGGGCAUGCCUGUUCGAGCGUCAUUUCAACCAUCAAGCCCUGUCUAGGCUUGUGUUGGGGCCCUGCGGCUACCGCAGCCCCCUAAAUGCAGUGGCGGGCUCGUUGUCACUCCGAGCGCAGUAGCGUAUCUCGCUCUGGGCGUGGCGGCGGGUGCUAGCCGUGAAACACCCACUAAGGUUGACCUCGGAUCAGGUAGGAAUACCCGCUGAACUUAAGCAUAUCAAUAAGCGGAGGA